rnacentral:misc_RNA from 1 species
ACGCGCUCUGGAAACUUCGUCCAACUUCCACUGAGCGCUGACCAAAGUUUGGCUGGGGUGGUGCGCUCUGGAAACUUCGUCCAACUUCCAUUGCGUGCUGACCAAAGCUUGGCCGGGGUGGUGGGCGGUGCGGCGACGGACGCAUUCGACUUCUUGGUCAGGGUCGCUGGCGUGGUGGUGGCAGCUAGGGCCAUGGUGGACUUCUACGCCAUGGCUGCGUGUGCGGCCAUGGCACAGAGCAACGCUAGGCCGAGAGCGCUGGCGCGCGCCAUUGCUGUGGAAGUGUGCGGCGUAUAUUGUGCUGCUUUGUAUCGGGUUCUGGGUGCUUCUGCCUCAG